UACGUAGGGGGCUAGCGUUGUCCGGAAUCAUUGGGCGUAAAGAGCGUGUAGGCGGCCCGGUAAGUCCGCUGUGAAAGUCGGGGGCUCAACCCUCGAAUGCCGGUGGAUACUGUCGAGCUAGAGUGCGGAAGAGGCGAGUGGAAUUCCUGGUGUAGCGGUGAAAUGCGCAGAUAUCAGGAGGAACACCGAUUGCGAAGGCAGCUCGCUGGGACGUAACUGACGCUGAGACGCGAAAGCGUGGGGAGCAAACAGG
rnacentral:rRNA from 1 species